rnacentral:rRNA from 1 species
AUUGAACGCUGGCGGCAUGCCUUACACAUGCAAGUCGAACGGCAGCACGGGGGCAACCCUGGUGGCGAGUGGCGAACGGGUGAGUAAUGCAUCGGAACGUGUCCUCUUGUGGGGAGUAACCAGUCGAAAGAUUGGCUAAUACCGCAUGAGAUCGAGAGAUGAAAGCGGGGACCGGAGGGUAACUUCGGCCUCGCGCGAGAGGAGCGGCCGAUGCCGA